GACCCGGUGAAGAGGGCAGGGAGCUGGGGCAGCCUGCUGUGCGGAGCUGGGGGAGGAGGAGGGAGCCCUGGGGGACAGACAGAAGGACCAUCGAAGGAGAAACCCUGCUGGCCUCGGGACCUGGAGGAAAGAACCAGGGCCCGUGCUCCUUGGGCCAGGAUCCGGCGAUUGGACGGAACCUCUCGGAUUCCCCAGUGCUGUGAAAUCCACUUGGGGCCAUCACACCCUUCAUUGCUGUGCUCCCUGGCAGAACUCGAAUGCAGCGUGAGCUGGGCACUUUUCCCAGGGUUUGCUCUAGGUCUGGGUCUCCCAUCAGCUCCCCCGGAGCAGAGCCUGAGGCAAGGAUUCUUGUUCGGGGGCAUCUUCCUCUCAGCACCGUGCUUUGGGAAUCGAGUGAUGGUGCUGAGUGAACCCCUGAGUGAACAUCUGUGGCUUCCUCCCACCUCGUCUCUGGAUGCACUCCUGUUCGAAUGGUACCUGAUCUUCUUCUGUGUGAGAAUUUUCUCUGGGCACAGUCUGUCCAGGAGGGGACACGAGUACCCCUAAUUUCACUAAGUGUGGCUGAAUUAUCUUCCAGGGUGUCUGUACAUGCUUGUCCCCUCCCCACGGUGGCGUGCUCAAUGGUGGCUCCCCACAGAUAUGUCCGUGUCCUAAUUCCCGGAGCCUUUGGGUCUCAUGUAGCCAAUGAUGUGAAAAAGUGAAGGAUGCUGAGAGGAGAUCAUCCAGAUGUCUUAGAGGAUAAAAAUGAGCGGGCAGAUGAAGAGAUACUCAGGGUGAGGUUUGGAAGGUGCACCAGGCCCACCCCAUGGAUGUGGCUCAGAGAGCCUGGGAAACGUGAGGUCUGUGACCUGGAUCAGGCCCAGAGAGACCUGAGCAGGAGGCGUGUGAAGCCCCUGCGCCUGUGCGAGGAGGGAAGCUGUUUCAGGGAAUUUGCCUUUCUUUCCCUGUAGUUUCAGACUAGCUGAUAAAUUACCUAAAAUGUUACCACAA
rnacentral:lncRNA from 1 species